GGCUUCUUGGAGCAAACUAAUAGGCUGUGUUCUUACACUAACUGUAUAAAAAGAGGAGAAAAGAAUGCCAGGUACACUUCAGUCUAGGCCAUAUGCCUGGUCUGAAUUGUGAAUGGGGAAACAUGG
rnacentral:snoRNA from 1 species